UACGGAGGGGACUAGCGUUGUUCGGAAUUACUGGGCGUAAAGCGCACGUAGGCGGAUUUGUAAGUCAGGGGUGAAAUCCCGGGGCUCAACCUCGGAACUGCCUUUGAUACUGCAAAUCUCGAGUCCGGAAGAGGUGAGUGGAAUUCCUAGUGUAGAGGUGAAAUGCGCAGAUAUCAGGAAGAACACCCGUGGCUAAGGCGGCUCUCUAGUACGGUACUGACGCUGAGACGCGAAAGCGUGGGGAGCGAACAGG
rnacentral:rRNA from 1 species